AGCAGCUUGGUAGAGAGAGAGUUGGACGAUUCAAUCUGUAGUUUGUCUUCCUUUCUGAAAUCAAACAUGAAAUGAGUAGAUCGAAGUAAGUUACUUUAAAACAAGGUCAUCAAACACGUAUUCUCUCUAUUAUUUCUGUUAAAGAUUUGGAGGUGUUAGGAAAAAUUACUAAUGAAUCUAAGUUGUUUCUGAGGAAGAAGAAGAAAUGGUUUAUGUAUUGGUCUUGAUUAUCAUCGGUGUGUACGGGCUCGGAAAAAUUAACGGCGACGGCAAAUCUAACGAGGGCAAUACGUAUCAACUUAACCUCAUCAUGAUGUUUCUUCUGGAGUAGUGACUGCGCCUCAUUCUGUUCCUCAAAUUCUAUCAAAUUCCUUCUGUGACCCCUCAGCUUCUUACCGGAAAGCACUGUAGAUGGGGCUUUUAUAAGCAAAAACUCUUGUAUCUUUCAUGCGAAAGCCGAAACCUAAGUAAUAACUCGGUUGGGAUGACGAUGGACCUAGUGGAGACAAUCAAAGACGAUAAUCUGAUGCUGAAACAAUCUCGGUGGUUCAGCUGGACAGACCAUUAGGAUAAACAAGCUCGAAAAGAUAAGCAACUGGCUGUGGACCAAACUUCAGGAUUUGUUCGUAUUAGAUGAACACUAUAGAAAAGCUACCUUGUCGGACAAGAAAGCUAAAUGGAAAAGACAUCACUAUACACCCUACAAUACAAAUGAAAAUUGAAUUGCAGAUAAACGUGAUUUUGGACUAUGGAAGAGCAUCAGGUACUUUUAGUUCAAGAAUAGGAGUCACUAGAGAGCCAAGAACACGGUGGGUAGGAAAAGCUUCUCUUGAUGCAAAGCUGAGAUCGUGCGUUCUAACAUAUGUCAAUGUCAAACGGUUAUCGGAAGUGGGAACAAAAGUAUUGCAAUGCUGUUAUAUCCUUCUCAUCACAUUGUGGGAAGAAACCUUUUAUAAGAUUCAUGCCUCGAAUGAGAAAAGUCAGGGGGGGUAAAGAAAUGAAAAAGGAGACAGCUCGGAGUUUGUCAUAUUUCCUGACCUGUAAGUCUGAUACUGCGUAACUUCUUGGAAGUCUGGAAGUGACGCGUGAGAAAAAUGGUGAAGCACAGGUGGGGAUACACAAAGUUAGUUGAGCAGGAAAUUCAUUGAACAUAUCCUCAUCAUAUCUCAAAUUUUGCAAGGAUGUGUUAUCUUCUGAGCACCAUUAGACAUUAAAAGGAAUUUGGUGGGUGCUGAUUUAGCAAACAAUUUUUGCAGGCUCGGAAUUGUGUUGUAGUUGGAUUGUAGUUCGAUUCCUCAGAAUCCUGCCCGUCCCGAAAGUACUUGCCAUUGGCUCGGGUCUGAUUGAUACUCUUUGGCUCGCCCUUCCCUACCUACGUCAGAAAAAUAGACAGCGCCUCAUUUUGGACUGUUUUUGAAAAAGUUAAGGAUGAAGUACAGCAACUCUUAAUUUCAGAAAAAGAAAAAGUUCAACCAAAAAUCAUUAAUUAUCCGUACGUUCGGUCGGAAAAUUUCUUUCUUGACUAAGAUUUGUGGUGAUGACCUCCGUCAAUCAAUCUGCCGGUGUCUCAACAGCACAAGUUGUCCAAAUGAGUUUUCUAUUCCUUUUGGCUUUGUGAUGAUGUUGUAGGGCUCUUGUGACAGGGUUAAGAUGUGACUAUUGUCAAAGUACUCUUCGCACCCUUUCUAGCCAUAGCUUUUGGAAAACCCCAACUCAACGAUUUCGAGCUGCUUUUACCGCUGUUAGUGUUGUGACCCACGACCAGCGAGGUGGUGUUUUUUCUAGCUUCUACCAAACAUAAAAGACAAUUCUUUUG